UUCGGCCUACGGGAGGCAGCAGUGAGGAAUAUUGGUCAAUGGCCGGAAGGCUGAACCAGCCAAGCCGCGUGAAGGACGAAGGCGCCAAGCAUUGUAAACUUCUUUUGUCAAGGGACAAAAUCAGGCUCGAGAGCCUGACCGAGGGUACUUGAAGAAAAAGCAUCGGCUAACUCCGUGCCAGCAGCCGCGGUAAUACGGAAGGUCCGGGCGUUAUCCGGAUUUAUUGGGUUUAAAGGGAGCGUAGGCCGGCUUUUAAGUCAGCUGUGAAAGUCCGCGGCUCAACCGUGGAAUUGCAGUUGAAGCUG
rnacentral:rRNA from 1 species